AUAGGUUGUGAUUUGGUUGUUUUUUUAUUUCCAGGGAGAAGUGUUCAUGGUUUAUGAGUUUCGAUUUUUAGUGUGGGUGUAUGAUUUGGUUGUUUUUUAUUUCAGGAAACGUUGCCGUUCGAAUUUUAUGGUUUUUGUAUAGAAGUUUGCAGGCCCCUUCUGAUUAAGGAAGCAGUGGCCAUCGUUUUUGCCGCUUUUGUAUGUACGGUUCCAGAUGCUUGAGAUGAUGAAGAAUAAAAGAAAUUAAAUGC